UAGGGAAUAUUGGACAAUGGGGGCAACCCUGAUCCAGCCAUGCCGCGUGAGUGAAGAAGGCCCUCGGGUUGUAAGCUCUUUUGUCCAGAAAGAAAAGCUUCGGGUUAAUACCCCGGGGUUCUGACGGUACCGGAAGAAUAAGCACCGGCUAACUUCGUGCCAGCAGCCGCGGUAAUACGAAGGGUGCAAGCGUUACUCGGAAUUACUGGGCGUAAAGCGUGCGUAGGUGGUUGUUUAAGUCUGAUGUGAAAGCCCUGGGCUCAACCUGGGAAUGGCAUUGGAAACUGGGCAGCUAGAGUGCGGUAGAGGGUAGUGGAAUUCCCGGUGUAGCAGUGAAAUGCGUAGAGAUCGGGAGGAACAUCUGUGGCGAAGGCGACUGCCUGGACCAGCACUGACACUGAGGCACGAAAGCGUGGGG
rnacentral:rRNA from 1 species